AUUGAACGCUGGCGGCAGGCCUAACACAUGCAAGUCGAGCGAGCGGCGGACGGGUGAGUACUGUAUGGGGACUGCCCGAUAGAGGGGGAUAACUACUGGAAACGGUAACUAAUACCGCAUACUAACGGAUAACCCAUAUGGGAUUGGCUAGUAGGUGAGGUAAUGGCGCACCUAGGUGACGAUCCCUAGCUUGUCUGAGAGGAUGAGCAGCAACACGUGGACUGAGACAGGGCCCAGACUCCUACGGAGGAAGCAGUGGGGAAUAUUGCACAAUGGGCGAAAGCCUGAUGCAGCCAUGCCGCGUGUAUGAAGAAGGCCCUAGGGUUGUAAAGUACUUUCAGUCGGGAGGCGUUACCGACAGAAGAAGCACCGGCUAACUCCGUGCCAGCAGCCGCGGUAAUAC
rnacentral:rRNA from 1 species